GACGAACGCUGGCGGCGUGCCUAAUACAUGCAAGUUGAGCGCUGAAGGUUGGUACUUGUACCAACUGGAUGAGCAGCGAACGGGUGAGUAACGCGUGGGGAAUCUGCCUUUGAGCGGGGGACAACAUUUGGAAACGAAUGCUAAUACCGCAUAAAAACUUUAAACACAAGUUUUAAGUUUGAAAGAUGCAAUUGCAUCACUCAAAGAUGAUCCCGCGUUGUAUUAGCUAGUUGGUGAGGUAAAGGCUCACCAAGGCGAUGAUACAUAGCCGACCUGAGAGGGGGAUCGGCCACAUUGGGACCGAGACACGGCCCAAACCCCUACGGGAGGCAGCAGUAGGGAAUCUUCGGCAAUGGACGAAAGUCUGACCGAGCAACGCCGCGUGAGUGAAGAAGGGUUUCGGAUCGUAAAACUCUGUUGGUAGAGAAGAACGUUGGUGAGAGUGGAAAGCUCAUCAAGUGACGGUAACUACCCAGAAAGGGACGGCUAACUACGUG
rnacentral:rRNA from 1 species